UUUUUUUUUUUUUUUUUUAAUUUAUUUAUUCAUGAGAGACAGAAAUACAGGCAGAGGGAGAAGCAGGCUCCAUGCAGGGAGCUCGACAUGGGACUCGAUCCCGGGUCUCCAGGAUCAGGCCCUGGAUUGAAGGUGGUGCCAAACCGCUGAGCCACCUGGGCUUUAGGGUGCUUAAACUCAUCCAUAUAAAGAACUCUCUCCAGGAAGUCAGGCAAUUUCUAUGGAAUCAGAGAAGGGAGGUUUGGUCUCUACUAGGAUGCAUCCAGGGGCUCUACUCCAAAAGGUAGAGACCCAAAAGGCCCACGUGAGGCCUUGAAUUGAGCCAGCUGGGCACAAAGUGUAGCUGCCUAGUCUAACUUUUGUAGCUAACCAGAUUAAGGACUCUAUAUCCGUUUGUGGACACUCAGGACCCCAACAUCCCCCUCUUCCUCCCUUGCUGCUACCGGCCCUUUUGUCAACUUUCUAUUGGGUGGCAUUACCAUCUGUGGAUAUUGUUUGUUGACCACUGGGGUAAUAAACCUGGUUGCCAAGAAAAUUGAAACUUGGCUAAAACAAGGCUGCGAACUACCUUCAUCUAUAUUGUGGUCUCCACUUGUUAUCACGGACCAUAAAUUGAGAUGAGGCACAUUGGCUGAUGCCCUGGCAAUGACGUAAUUGAUUUCAGUGUUCCGAUGCUAACUAAAUGCAUAUAUCUUAAGUUUAUGUCAAUUAUUCACACAGUUUAUCUAACAUCACUAUUAUGACUUUAGAAAAAUAUUUACAAAGGGUUUAACAAUAAUUUUCCUGAACUAUUCAUCAAAGAGGAUUACGCUGCUCCUAACUCUGAGCCCUGCUGAUACUGUCUGUCAACAAGACUGGGUGAAAAAUGAAGCUUAUUAUUUUAAACCUUUGGACCAAUACUUGAGCGGCUAAAGAGGUCACGGGCAUUGUUUGUCCAAUUUCACCUGCAGAGAAUUUACUUAUUCCAAGAAUGUGAUUGUCAACAGGUUAAAUGACUUUAGAUAAUACACCAUGUACAGCUGGUGGGAAAUCCCUAAGCUAAUAAACUAGAGAGAAGGUGAGUAGACCCCCUGGAAAAUUAGCCGGCCUUUUUCCUUCUCAAUUCCUGAAUGUAUCCACACCUAUGGGAUUACAUUGCUUUUUCUUUGACGACCCUGUGAGGGACUGACUUUUGAAUUAUCUGUAAUCUUUUACAUUGCUAUAAAUUUAGCGCCUAACAGAGUGCCUGCACAUAAUUGGUGAUGGAUAAACAUUUGUUGAACGAAUGUGAGGAAGCUGACUUCAAAGAGAGAGAUUCAAAGCCGGACAGUGCAUGCUAUGACGGAAAUACAUUAAAAACAAUAGCGAUAGGGACACCUGGGUGGCUCAGUGGGUGAGCAUCUGCCUUUGGCUCAGGGUAUGGUCCUGGGGUCCUGGAAUCGAGUCCCGCAGCAGGUUCCCCACAGGAUGCCUGCUUCUCCCUCUGCCUGUGUCUCUGCCUCUUUGUGUCUCUCAUGAAUAAAUAAAUAAAAUCUUAAAAAAAACAAAAACAAAAACCUUCAAAACGUAGCGAUAGGCACAGAUGCGAGAGUGAUGUGUGGCCGGGCAGCAGCUGGAUGUGGUGUGUGGAGGGACAGGAGGCCAGGCCGUCUCCCUCCCUCUUCUUCGACCCCUCUAGCUUAGUCUAAAUGAAGAAAAGCGACGCUGCCAUUUGUGGCUUGCUCCUGUGGUCUGCUUCUCCGGGGUUUGCACCCUCCAUACUAAAAUGCCAUGUCUCUCUGCUUCCCUAGCCCUGUUUUUCCAUCUUACAUCAUUGGCUUAUGAGGCAGUAACCUAGUGACCCUGUUACAAUUCCCAUUAGAUCCGGUCACAGGUCCCUGCAUGCCUACUCAUUACACUCAGAGUAGAAACCAAGUCCUGUCUCUCUGUACGCAGCGAACC
rnacentral:lncRNA from 1 species